UACGUAGGGUGCGAGCGUUAAUCGGAAUUACUGGGCGUAAAGGGUGCGCAGGCGGCGUCGCGAGUCAGGCGUGAAAUCCCCGGGCUUAACCUGGGAACUGCACUUGAAACUACGAUGCUGGAGUAUGGCAGAGGGAGGUGGAAUUCCACGUGUAGCGGUGAAAUGCGUAGAGAUGUGGAGGAACACCGAUGGCGAAGGCAGCCUCCUGGGCCAAUACUGACGCUCAUGCACGAAAGCCAGGGGAGCAAACGGG
rnacentral:rRNA from 1 species